GAGGCUUAUGGGACAGCUGGGCGGGGCCGAGGCGGGCGGGGCCGCGCGGAAGUCCUUACCUGCAGGUGGCACCGGCUGGAGGCUGGGGUGGUGCUGCCACCAGUGAGCGGGGCAGCGGGGCGAGGGCACCCUCACCUGUCCGUGUGCGGUGCUCAGUCUGGGCUCCGCGGCCUCCACUUGCACUGGACGUGGACCCAGGCUACCAGUGGGCAAGAUAGAGGACUGAGCCCAGGCACGCACGGCUGGCCAGAAAAGGCUGGCCAGCCUCUGGUCCCGGUACCAGGCAAGUGAUUGGAGUUCCUUUCCAGUUUGGAAACAUCUGGGCAGACCCAGAUUGAACAGGGUCCAGGGGGAAGGACCAAGCCUGUCC